GAUGAACGCUGGCGGCGUGCUUAACACAUGCAAGUCGAACGGUGAACACGGAGCUUGCUCUGUGGGAUCAGUGGCGAACGGGUGAGUAACACGUGAGCAAUCUGCCCCUGACUCUGGGAUAAGCGCUGGAAACGGCGUCUAAUACUGGAUAUGUGACGUGACCGCAUGGUCUGCGUUUGGAAAGAUUUUUCGGUUGGGGAUGGGCUCGCGGCCUAUCAGCUUGUUGGUGAGGUAAUGGCUCACCAAGGCGUCGACGGGUAGCCGGCCUGAGAGGGUGACCGGCCACACUGGGACUGAGACACGGCCCAGACUCCUACGGGAGGCAGCAGUGGGGAAUAUUGCACAAUGGGCGCAAGCCUGAUGCAGCAACGCCGCGUGAGGGAUGACGGCCUUCGGGUUGUAAACCUCUUUUAGCAGGGAAGAAGCGAAAGUGACGGUACCUGCAGAAAAAGCGCCGGCUAACUACGUG
rnacentral:rRNA from 1 species